rnacentral:rRNA from 1 species
UGGGGAAUAUUGCACAAUGGAGGGAACUCUGAUGCAGCGACGCCGCGUGAACGAAGAAGGCUUUCGAGUCGUAAAGUUCUUUUAUAUGGGAAGAUAAUGACGGUACCAUAAGAAAAAGCCCCGGCUAACUACGUGCCAGCAGCCGCGGUAAUACGUAGGGGGCUAGCGUUGUCCGGAAUCACUGGGCGUAAAGGGUUCGCAGGCGGAAAUGCAAGUCAGGUGUAAAAGGCAGUAGCUUAACUACUGUAAGCAUUUGAAACUGCAUAUCUUGAGAAGACUAGAGGUAAGUGGAAUUUUUAGUGUAGCGGUGAAAUGCGUAGAUAUUAAAAAGAAUACCGGUGGCGAAGGCGGCUUACUGGGCUCAUUCUGACGCUGAGGAACGAAAGCGUGGGUAGCAAACAGG